AGACCUAUCUCUUGCAUGAAUACC
rnacentral:siRNA from 1 species